GCAAUGGCCUCUCGGGAUCAUUCCUCACGGCCUAAAUUAAACGUGUCCUCCAGUUGGAGGCCUGGCCGGGCUGUUGUCAUGGGAACGCUGGUUUUCUUAUGCGCGCGUUCAACACACCGAGGCGAGGAUUAAUCCGUCCGAAUAGAAACUUAAGUAAUGUAAACACGACGGUUUGACUGUUUAAACCAACCACGGUCUGAACCACGGUAUGAUGGUUUGAGGCAGAGUUUGAUCGUUAGAACCACAGUUUGGUGGCUUGAACCACGGUUUGAUGGUUGGAACCGAAUACGUCGACCACCCCGUCGUUCUCGAGGGCCGCUGAGACGAAGAUAGGUCACGACAGGGUCGUGAUGAGACGCAUGGCUGGCCGCCAUCGGCUCUCCAGAGGAAAGCGCCUGGGAAUAACCUGGACGACCCAAACAAAGAUGGAGAUGUUCCUCUUAUGGGGCCCAGUGGAUCUGAUGCCCUCCUGGGAGGUUCUCCGGCCCAGCAGUCCCCACAUCCUGGAGCCUGCAGGAAGAGAAGGAACCCCCCCCCGUUAGCAUCUGAAGGCUGCCUUCUACCUGGGGGUCAAAGGGUCGCAAGGGACCAGAGGAGGAGGUUCGCAAGUCGGUUCAUCCUGAAGAUCACCACACGUCAGUGUUUGUAGGAGGAAUUCCUUUUGGCAGUCUACACGGCGAGGCUGAGGGAAGCGAGCCCGUGGCAUUGUGUUAGGGGUUAACCCCAGCAGCAGCAGAGGACUGGGGGGGGCCAGGCCUACACCACGGAGGAGGCAGCCCUGUCCCGAGGACGUAAGCAAGAGCUCAGGCAGCGCUGAGAAAGAUGCGUGAUGGACUUCUUAAGCGCUGUAACAUUUGUUAAAGUGAAGCAGCGUGCUGCUUACCUGUUGGACUGCAGGACUCAACCCUAAAGCCCUCAGGCACAGGCCGCCACGCCGCACAGGCCUGCUUGGCUACCUGCUGCCGGCCUGCUGCCGGCCUGCUGGCUGCCUGCUGGUUGCCUGCUGCCGACCUGCUGGUGGCAUGCUGCCGCACCGGCCUGCUGGCUACCUGCUGCUGGCCUGCUGCUGGCCUGCUGGCUGCCUGCUGGUUGCCUGCUGCCGACC
ensembl:lncRNA